rnacentral:lncRNA from 1 species
GAUACAGGAAGUAGUAGGAGCGGCUUAGAAAGAGGCUUGGUCUUUUUGAUCCAGGAGGGAAAGAGAGAGGAGGUCACUGGUUGAUUCUUUGCCACGCUUCUGACUCCUGGGCUUUUAUUGAUAAAAGAAUAAAUAGAUAAACGCUUCAGAUGUGUGUCCCCCCCCCCCCCAGAGAAGCUGUUACUGCUACUGAGUCAGGCCGCAGGCACAGAGUUAAGCUGCAAAAGUAGGAGAGGUUGCAGAGACCAAGGACAGGGUUAGAUCCAGGUGAACAAAAGGAUGGAUAGUUGGAUGUCAGAUCCAGAGGAAAGAGCAGACUGACAGACAGACAGACAGAUCCGAGUAAGACCAAUCAACAACAGGAAACAAGCUGAGCUGACGCCCCUGGGACACUCCAGUGUUUGCUGCCUGUGUACCAGUUAUCACAUGACAGGUCAACAUCACAGUGCUUCUUUUCAUGGAGCCCAGGAGAAGAGUUGCUCCCAUUCUUCAGCCUGAUACAUCUGAGCCCUCAUCCAGUGGCUGAUGGAAGCAGAGACAGACAUCCACAGAUAUACACUGAGCUGAAAUCUGGAAUUUAGUUGAAGAGAGGGAGGAAUGCAGAUCGAAGGGGCAGGUUGGAGAAACCCACAAAAACAGUUGGCCUGAACAAGGGAGAGUACAUCGACCCCAGAUGCUGUCUGGGAGGCCAGUACAAGACUGAUCCAGAUCCCUGAACAUGGAU